CUUCGAUCCGUUGUCAGGUCGAGUAUCGCGUGCCAACCGAGUGUGCCAGCCUGUCUAUCCUUGAUCCAGCGAUCGAUCGAGAACGAUCGCUCCACCCGCUCGCGAUCUUCCUUCCGGUUGUUCACGGCAGAACAGAAAGGUUACCGCGUGGCUGCUCGAUCGCUCGCGCGACGCGUCGCCGGAAACCACCGAUCGAUAUUUCAUCCUUGGCUCGACCAAGUUUCGCCGGGUUGUUGAGUAACGAGCGGUAAACGAGCGCGGAACUGUCCGGUCGUAUCGCGAUCGUUUAAGCACAGACACACACACACACACACACACACACACACACACACACACACACACACACACACACACACACACAGACACAGACACAGUGAGUAUCGUGGACGUGAAACAGACGAAACACAAUUGGAUUUAUUCGCAAAGGAGAUCGUGGACGCCUUUGACGUCGGUGUUAACGCUAGAACUACCAAAUUGAAAGGGAUGUAGGAAGAGUUUUAUUUAUUUUCUUUUACGAAAAACUGGACGAAUAUCCGCGUGAAAUUUCGGUGAAAAAUAAUUAUCGGCGAGUUUAUCGAUACGUCGAGCAGAAAUUCGUUUCCUCGAACGGCGGACGUUUGCACACUUGACGAAAGAAGAAGAAGAAGCAGGAUAAAUAAGAGGAGGGAGGGGGCUGUGCCCGAUUGGGUGUUUCACGCGAUGGCAGAUAAAAGCGGAAAAAUGUGUCAUCGAGUUUGAUAGCGCGCUGACGUUGAAAAUGUGAGAAAGUCUUUCAUACGCGGACGUCGUAUCGCGCCUUUGUAUCGCUGCUACGUUCGCGAACAAGCCGCGCGUUUUUCAUGAACUUCCGGCGCGAUUCGAGCAAAGACGUGGCCGUUGAGGGCGCGUCCGAUUAAACGAGGAAGGAAAAUAAGAAGGAGAAGAAGAAGAAGAAGAAGAAACGGAAGUGAAGUACGCAAACUACAGUUAAAGAAGAGGGUAGAUAGUGAAGCGAGUGUCAUUUCGUGUUCCUCGCGACUUAACGAACCACGAAACGAGAGAUCGUGCACAAGUUACUACACACUGCCAAUUUUUAAGUGAACCUUGAUCAAACGACACGUCUUGAUAAUUAAGACGCUCCUCUGCAGUCAGGAUUACGACACAAGAUCGAAUAUUGAACGUGGACUUGAUAAAUGGACAGUUUUGAAAUGAAUUAUCGACUUCAUCGAACGACACAUCUUAAAUAAAAAAAAAAAAAAAAACACUCGUUUGUUUGCGACGACAAUUGGAAAUUCAUCGUGAUUGAUUUAAUAAACCGCGAAGCAAGUGGUUCGAGUGAAUAUUCUACUGCCUAUUUUACAAGUGAACAGCGUCUUGAUAAUUAAGACGUUCCUUUCGAAUUGUUUGCACCUUCUGCAAUUCAAGAUUGCGACACAGGGUCAGUCGUCGAACGUGGACUUGAUAAAUGUACAGGAUCGACAGUUUUGAAAUGAAUUAUCGACUUCAUCGAACGACACAUCUUAAAUAAAAAUAAACACUCGUUUGUUUGCGAUGACAAUUGGAAAUUCAUUGUCGAACGAAUCGCGAGUGAUUUAACAAACCGCGAAGCAAGAGAUCGUCAAGUGGCUCGAGUGAAUAUUCUACUGCCUAUUUUACAAGUGAACUUGAUAAUUAAGACGCUUCUUUCGAACUGUUUGCACCUUCUUCAUUCAAGUUUGCGACACAAGAUCAGUCGUCGAACGUGGACUUGACAAAUGUACGAAACAAUCGACAAUUUUGAAAUGAAUUAUCGACAUCAUCGAGCGAUACAUCUUAAAUAAAUAAAAAAAAAAAGAAAAAACACUCGUUUGUUUGCGAAACGACUCGAUGUGGCUCGAUAAA